rnacentral:rRNA from 1 species
AGCGAACGCUGGCAGCAGGCCUAACACAUGCAAGUCGAACGAACCCUUCGGGGUUAGUGGCGGACGGGAGAGACACACGUGGGAACGUCCCUUGAGGUUAGACAUCACACAGGGAAACUUGUACUAAUACCGACUGUGCCCUGCGGGGGAAAGAUUUCUCGCCUUUAGAGCGGCCCGCGUCUGAUUAGCUAGGUGGUGAGGUAAUGGCACACCAAGGCUACGAUCAGUAGCUGGUGUGAGAGGAUGACCAGCCACAUUGGGACUGAGACACGGCCCAAACUCCUACGGGAGGCAGCAGUGGGGAAUCUUGCGCAAUGGGCGAAAGCCUGACGCAGCCAUGCCGCGUGGAUGAUGAAGGUCUUAGGAUUGUAAAAUCCUUUCACCGGUGAAGAUAAUGACUGUAGCCGGAGAAGAAGCCCCGGCUAACUUCGUGCCAGCAGCCGCAGUAAAAC